rnacentral:rRNA from 1 species
GAUGAACGCUGGCGGCGUGCCUAAUACAUGCAAGUCGAGCGAACAGACGAUGAUCUUGCUCCUCUGACGUUAGCGGCGGACGUGUGAGUAACACGUGUAUAACCUACCUAUAAGACUGGGAUCACUUCGGGAAACCGGAGCUAAUACCGGAGAAUAUAUUGAACCGCAUGGUUCAAUAGUGAAAUACGGUGUUUCUGUCACGUAUAGAUGGAUCCGCGCCGCAUUAGCUGGUUGGUAAGGUAACGGCUUACCAAGGCAACGAUGCGUAGCCGACGUGAGGGGGGGGUCGCCCACCCUGGAACUGAGACACGGACCAGACGCCUACGGGAGGGAGCAGUAGGGAAUGUUCCGCAAUGGGCGAGAGCAUUACGGAGCAACCCCGCGUGAGAGACGAAGGUGUUGGGAUCGUAAAGCUCUGUUUCUAGGGAAGAACAAAUGUGUAAGUAAAUAUGCCCGUCUUGACGGUAACUAAUAAAAAAGCACCGGCUAACUACGUG